rnacentral:lncRNA from 1 species
CUCACACUUCUUGGUUCCCUUUUGCUCCAGCAGUUCUACGCAUCUGGCUGUGGAGGAGUAACUGAACAGCAUCUACUCUCAUUUGUACCAUGAUCUAUGCUUCCAUGAAAGACUGCUCUGCUAUUACCAUAGGUAAAACUUCAUGACCCCCAAGGAUCAGGAAAACAACAGAUCAACAUUCCCCUUAUCCAUCCCUUGGGCAGAAGGCUCUGAGUCACACAAAUAUGAAACAAAGCACAAUCCAGCUCCGUAUGAAGAGAGAGAACGCUAGCACUCCUUGAGGUGACUUCUGGAAUGGAGAACAGGAAGUGGUGGCGAACCCACGACACACACUGCAGCAGGCACAGAGAGCCCUCCCUCCUCGUUGGCUGCAAGCCAAGUAGCCUGAGCCAAGGAGCCAAGGCCUGACACAUUAUCAGCACACAUACAACAGCAAAGAUCACGUUA